rnacentral:rRNA from 1 species
CAGUAGCCACGGGAAUACGAGGGGGGCAAGCGUUGUUCGGAAUUAUUGGGCGUAAAGGGCGGGUAGGCGGUUUGGCAAGUCUCGUGUGAAAUCUUCGGGCUCAACUCGAAGUCUGCACGGAAAACUGCCGGGCUUGAGUAUGGGAGAGGUGAGUGGAAUUUCCGGUGUAGCGGUGAAAUGCGUAGAUAUCGGAAGGAACACCUGUGGCGAAAGCGGCUCACUGGACCAUUACUGACGCUGAGGCGCGAAAGCUAGGGGAGCAAACAGGAUUAGAUACCCCGGUAGUCCCUGUCUCUUAUAC